rnacentral:lncRNA from 1 species
GAGUGACACUCCCUGUUGUGUCUCCGCUGUCACAGAGGGUCAGGCCUGGGGUGUCCAUGGCAGAGGGUCUGAGGCUGAGGGGCCUCUCUUUGCCCCUCGGCUUCCCCUGAGUGCUCCUGAGUGCACAGGGGAUGGUGGAGAGCGAGUAGGACAAGCUGGCUGGGGCGCUGGGGCUGCAGGCUGGCAUGAAGGGCCGGCUCUCUCGUGGGCCCUUCUAGAGGACUCUUGGAGGUUCUUCCCUUCUGGAAGCCUCCUUUGCCCACACGGGCAGAAGUGUCUCUACUUUGGAUGGUUUGAUGCUUGCUGCUGUGCCUGCCAGGAGGACCCUCCCCACAGCCCCUCCACAGCUCGUAUCUGGUGCGUGGGAACUCCUUUUCUCUAUCCUGAUUCCCCAGAUGAGCGUCAGACCCCAGGCUACUGCCGCCACAGCAGGGGUCUCACGUCACACCCCCCAGGACAUGUGGCAGCCCUUCCUCUGGGUUGGAGGUUGAGGGAGGCAGACCUGGGACUGUGGCCAGUGUCAUCAAACAUACUCCCUUCCCGAGCCUGCGUGCUCCACAAUUCUCUCUCUCUUUUUUUUUUUUUUUGACGGAGUCUCACUCUGUUGCCCAGGCUGGAGGGCAGUUGUGCGAUCCCAGCUCACUGCAACUUCCACCUCCUGGGUUUGAGCGAUUCUCCAGCCUCAGCCUCCCGAAUAGUUGGAAUUACAGGCGCCCACCACCAAGCCCAGCUAAUUUUUGUAUUUUUAGUAGAGACGGGGUUUCAUGGUGUUGGCCAGGCUGGUCUCAGACUCCUGGCCUCUGGUUAUCUGCUCGCCUCAGCCUCCCAAAGUGUUGGGAUUACAGGUGUGAGCCACUGUGCCUGGCAGGUCCAGCAUUCUCGAGCCACCUCCUGGCCACACUGUGGUCCUCUCUCUGGAGGGAGAGAUGGGCCUCACUGAGGUCUGUACUCUGCUCUAUCAGCCCCGACUCCUUCCUGGUAGAGAUGCUCCGUUUCUCCGGCAGUGAUGGCACAAGGCAAUUCUGUUUGUUGUUCAUGGAGGUUCAGUUUUCUGAACACUGUCUUAUCAGGGGCAGGUGGUUAUUGUCCCAUUUACAGAGGAGGGAAGGAAAGGCCUGGAGGUGAGGUGAUGUCACACAGUCCCUAGAGCUGGGGCUCCUGUCCUGUGUUCUCUCACUUCACCAGGUUUGG